AGGUUGCUGUGGUCACCUUAUUAUUAGUUGCGCUGUCACUGUUUUUGUUGCAUAUUUCUCUCGACGCAUUUUUACAAACCAAAACCGAAGCCUUCCUGUAUCUUCCAAGUCAAGUUGAGGAUUCAAACCAUCAACCACAGGGAGACACUCGGGCCCAGCAGCACUGAGAUCAUCAUAAGAUCACUUUUACAAAGUAUGUGUCUGAUUUGAACUUUGACCCCAGCUGAAGACUUGAGCCUCUUCCAGUUUAUUUGGUAACAUCAAGCAGUGAAACUAACUGAUUUCCUCCUUCAAUGCAAAAAUCUAGUCUCAGUGUGGAACUUUCAUUAAGAAUAACAUUGAACUGAGAAGAGAACUAAAUCUUUCAGUGAGACCUCAAAGUGUGUCUGAUGGACAAUUUAAAGGAUUAAAAUCCUCCCUGAUCAUCGCUGUGUUGGACUGACAUGGAUCGUUCCAUGUUUCCCAGCAGCCACUACAGAUGAGGGUGGAAAGAUGGAAAUAAAACAUCACCUGAAAACUGUGUUGGAGACACAGAAGA